CCAGACUCCUACGGGAGGCAGCAGUGAGGAAUAUUGGUCAAUGGGCGGGAGCCUGAACCAGCCAAGUCGCGUGAGGGACGACGGUCCUAUGGAUUGUAAACCUCUUUUGUCGGGGAACAAAGGCGUCCACGGGUGGGCGGAUGAGUGUACCCGAAGAAAAAGCAUCGGCUAACUCCGUGCCAGCAGCCGCGGUAAUACGGAGGAUGCGAGCGUUAUCCGGAUUUAUUGGGUUUAAAGGGUGCGCAGGCGGAAGAUCAAGUCAGCGGUAAAAUUGAGAGGCUCACCCCCGGCGAGCCGUUGAAACUGGCGGGCUGGAGUUGGAGAGAAGUACGCGGAAUGCGCGGUGUAGCGGUGAAAUGCUUAGAUAUCGCGCAGAACCCCGAUUGCGAAGGCAGCGUACCGGCUCCACACUGACGCUGAGGCACGAAAGCGUGGGUAUCGAACAGGAUUAGAUACCCCUGUAUU
rnacentral:rRNA from 1 species